rnacentral:rRNA from 1 species
UCCUGGCGACCAUAGCGAUUUGGAACCACCUGAUUCCAUCCCGAACUCAGAAGUGAAACAAAUCAGCGCCGAUGAUAGUGUGAGG